rnacentral:rRNA from 1 species
UGCGUAGGAGACGAGCGUUGUCCGGAGUUACUGGGCGUAAAGGGUGCGCAGGCGGCCUGGCGCGUCGCGAGUGAAAUCUCCUGGCUCAACUGGGAGGGUGGUCGCGAGACGGCUGGGCUUGAGGCUCGAUGAGGGGCGUGGAAUUCCGGGUGGAGCGGUGAAAUGCGUAGAGAUCCGGAGGAACACCGACGGCGUAGGCAGCGCCCUAGACGAGACCUGACGCUCAGGCACGAAAGCGCGGGGAGCGAACAGG